rnacentral:lncRNA from 1 species
UGUGAAGAAUGAAAUAGUGAGUGGCAAAGUGCUUUGGGAGCUGCGAAGAGUGGUGUCAACAUGAGGACAAGGACAGUCAUGGUGGUUCCACUUUACCCCCUUAGAGCUCAGCCUCCUCUGACAAGACAGAUGUGUUGGGUGCCUGAGUGUCCCCUGCCAUUCCAACUUUUGCUGGAUGAGGAGGUCUCUGCGGGCCCACUUAAUAAGCAAAGUGGUCAUUUAGUCCAUAUUUGCAAGAGGAUACGUUAAGAAACUUCUGAAGUGGUGUUGAUUUGGACGUACGGCUAGGGACAGAACUGAGAAAUGCCUGGACUUGGAGGUGAAGAGAGAUGAGGGGACGGGUAACUGCUACUUGAUGACAGCCUCGGCACCCCUGAAGGAAGGCCCUUUGCUGUGAACUCUCCAGUCUCUCCUCCUCAACUGACAGCACAAAAACUGUCCACAAGGAGUGACUGCUAAAUGCACAGGUAUAGGACGGAAGUAUCUAUUUUAGGGGACUUAUCUUUGUAGUGGCUUUGUUGUAACUCCGAGAUGGUGGAAUUAGCUCAAAUAAAGGAUGCAGAAAGCCUGAGCUCCGGCCA